rnacentral:lncRNA from 1 species
AAAGGGAUUUCACCUCGUCCUUGAGAGCAACACGGGGAGCGCGAGCGAGCGGGCGAGCGAGAGACGGGGGGAGAGAGAGGGACACGCGCGCGCACACACACACACACCGGCACACACGCACACACACAGACACACACACACAGAGUGAAAAAGGCGAGCCACCAAAACCCAUCUCCAGUCUCCUCCCGGGGGCCCCCAGCCCGCCUCUGUGCCACUUUGCAUCCCACGCCGGAGGAGGCAUUAACGAGACCGGUGCUGCAUUCUUACAACCCUAAAAUCCAUCUGCUCUUAACACACCGUCAAAAAGAGGGGGAAAUGCAUCUCCGAGGGAGUGCUCGAGAGAAGAUAAUGGAAUGGUCUGAUGUAAUCCCAUACAAAUUAUUCCUCAUGAUGUGAAAAUGCUUUUACAGGGACCUGGGAGAUUUCUAAACUGAGCUUUUUAAACGGUCCAAGGUGUAGAGCCAUACUUCAGGAGGAUCCUCAGAAGUUUUGGACAAGCCUCCCCAAAUGUGGCAGGUGCUGUGCUGGCCAUUGGUGACCCAAAGAUGAUGAAAAAUAUGUUCCUGCCCACAAGGAGUUAGCGACCUACUGGGGUUUUUCUCAGAAAUUACGUACUCUACGGCUGCCCAUCCUAUUCAAGAAUGAGGCAAUAGAAAAGCAUUUGCAAAAGUUAGUUACAAAUGUGGGGCUUGACGUUGAGCUAA